rnacentral:rRNA from 1 species
GACGAACGCCGGCGGCGUGCUUAACACAUGCAAGUCGAACGGUAAGGCCCUUCGGGGGACACGAGUGGCGAACGGGUGAGUAACACGUGGGCGAUCUGUCCUGCACUUCGGGAUCAGCCCGGGAAACUGGGUCUAAUACCGGAUAUGACUCCGGUCUGCACGGUCGGGGGUGGAAAGCGUUUGCGGUGUGGGAUGGGCCCGCGGCCUAUCAGCUUGUUGGGGGGGUGAUGGCCUACCAAGGCGACGACGGGUAGCCGGCCUGAGAGGGUGACCGGCCACACUGGGACUGAGAUACGGCCCAGACUCCUACGGGAGGCAGCAGUGGGGAAUAUUGCACAAUGGGCGCAAGCCUGAUGCAGCGACGCCGCGUGAGGGAUGACGGCCUUCGGGUUGUAAACCUCUUUCAGCAUCGACGAAGCGAAAGUGACGGUAGGUGCAGAAGAAGGACCGGCCAACUACGUGCCAGCCGCCGCGGUAA